AAACUGCAUUAUUUGGCAGUGUAGAUCUACCCUAUGUCACAGAAUUCUAAAUACUCUUCCCCAUACUGCCAAUCUAAAUUAAAGUGGAAUAUUUUAAUUUAUCUGUAUACUGUGAACAGACUCUUUGCUUUUCUCUUAUUUUGCUCCAUUUGAAGCCUUAAAAGAAGUAUCAAGAAAGAGGAAGAAUUGUGUAGGCCAGCUAGUUAGAAAAUCUGACCACUGCAAGAAGGAAUUCUGCCCAAAUAUAUGGACAUAUGGGCAAGUGUCAGUCCAAGCCUUUAUGCGGUCUAAAAAAAGGGUGAGAUGGCACACUUCCUUACUACAGACAGAGACUUUACAUCAGCAGACUAGCAUUUGGGUUGGAUGGCAGAGGAUAUACAGUACAUUCAGUUUUAUUCUCUGAUGCCUUUCUACUUCUCUGCAUGACCACUUUAAGCAUCAAGAAUGCUAUUUCUCCUGGUAUGCAAUCCAAGGCUGAUGAUCCUCAAACCUUUAUUCUUUCUGCAUUUCUCCUUUCUGUCAUCUGGAUUGGUUUCCUCUCUCUCCUGAUCAAUUUUUCAUGUUUCUCUUGCUGAAAUUUGUCCAUGUUUUAGUUUUCUGUCACGUUGAAAAGUGGCUGAGAAUUCUGUAUUUGUUCUUUGUAUUUCUUUCUAUUGUAUAUCCCCUUAUAAUUCUUCACUUCUCUGGCUGUCCACACUUCCUGAUCUGAACAAGCCCAGAGGAAAGGUUUCUGAAAUAUUCUUCCAUGUUCUAACAGAAGGAAGCCUCCAUUUGCCACAGAGAUGAGUGUGUAAUAAAGUGUAGGAUGUUCACAUACACUUGAAAAUAAACACAAGAAUUAUGAAUCUUAUCUAACGGAGCCUCUCCAAAGUUUCUUCCUUCUUUCAAACUAUUUUUAAAAAAUUUGUUUCUUUGCUAGCAACGUGAAUGAAAACAGUAGGAAAAUGUAGGGAAAAUACUCAGAACAGCACUGGCAAGAACAUGCAAAAAUGACAAAUGAGAUGAAAAAGAGAGCACUUGCCUAUUCAUAGCUGCUGAUACAUUCUACUUUCCAUGAAUUUGUUCAGAGUCCUAUUUUUAAAAAGACAUCAUGUGGCUACAAUAAUGUAAACCUCAAAAGUCAACCAAACUGGCUUUUUUCCCUUCCAUGGUCAAAUAAAUCUGUCACUUCUUCAGCCAUAUGAAGCUAUGAGUUGUCACGAACCAAGACAGUGGUUGAAAUUAGAAUUCCCCUUUCCUUUCAGGAACAUGCUGUUAACUAUAUUAUUAUUACAUACAUUUUUGCUCUAGGGUGUGUGCUUUAGAUAUUUUGAUUACAUAUUAUCCGUUUUUGCAUGAUGUGUUACUUAGCACAUUCUUUCAUAUGGCACAUAUCAAUAUGUGCCAGCUGUUUCCUUCAAACACACAACUAUUACUUUUAAAACCAUUUAGUUGAUAUCAUUCGCAACACUUGUAAAGCUAUAAAGCUUUAAAAAAUAUGAUUACAGAGUAGCAACAGAAACAGUAUUUAGCAGGAAUAAAUUUCGAUUACAAACAGACAACAAAAAGAAAUUAAUAGAUCGAGAAUUUUUAAGCAAUCCCCCUCCAUUUAUAUAUUCAUACUUCAUUAAAAAUGUUAUUCAUGUAAUUCUGAUAGUGGACUAAAUUGUGGCAGGAAAUCAUGCAGUAAAAGAUAUUACUCUGCUACUAUUGUUGAAGUAAAAUUCAGUUACCAGUCCUUCUGAGUUCUGCCAGUGGGUUGGUAAAUACACCAUUUUCUGCUCUACUUAAGGCAACAAAAUAUCUCAGGAUCACCCCCAAGCUGCGAACCUGUGACUUCAGGGAGAGUGUAACUCCAUCCAGUACAGGCUGUUACCCUAUAACCCAG
rnacentral:lncRNA from 1 species